rnacentral:rRNA from 1 species
GACGAACGCUGGCGGCGUGCUUAACACAUGCAAGUCGAACGGAAAGGCCCUGCUUUUGUGGGGUGCUCGAGUGGCGAACGGGUGAGUAACACGUGAGUAACCUGCCCUUGACUUUGGGAUAACUUCAGGAAACUGGGGCUAAUACCGGAUAGGAGCUCCUGCUGCAUGGUGGGGGUUGGAAAGUUUCGGCGGUUGGGGAUGGACUUGCGGCUUAUCAGCUUGUUGGUGGGGUAGUGGCUUACCAAGGCUUUGACGGGUAGCCGGCCUGAGAGGGUGACCGGCCACAUUGGGACUGAGAUACGGCCCAGACUCCUACGGGAGGCAGCAGUGGGGAAUAUUGCACAAUGGGCGGAAGCCUGAUGCAGCAACGCCGCGUGCUGGAUGACGGCCUUCGGGUUGUAAACCGCUUUCGCCUGUGACGAAGCGUGAGUGACGGUAAUGGGUAAAGAAGCACCGGCUAACUACGUG